AACGAGCGCUGGCGGCAGGCUUAACACAUGCAAGUCGAACGCCCCGCAAGGGGAGUGGCAGACGGGUGAGUAACGCGUGGGAAUCUACCCAGAUCUACGGAACAACAGAGGGAAACUUCUGCUAAUACCGUAUACGCCCUACGGGGGAAAGAUUUAUCGGAUUUGGAUGAGCCCGCGUAAGAUUAGCUAGUUGGUGAGGUAAUGGCUCACCAAGGCGACGAUCUUUAGCUGGUCUGAGAGGAUGAUCAGCCACACUGGGACUGAGACACGGCCCAGACUCCUACGGGAGGCAGCAGUGGGGAAUAUUGGACAAUGGGCGCAAGCCUGAUCCAGCCAUGCCGCGUGAGUGAUGAAGGCCUUAGGGUUGUAAAGCUCUUUCAGUGGGGAAGAUAAUGACGGUACCCACAGAAGAAGCUCCGGCUAACUUCGUGCCAGCAGCCGCCGUAAUAC
rnacentral:rRNA from 1 species